rnacentral:rRNA from 1 species
CAGUCGCCGCGGUUAUACGAAGAGGGCUAGCGUUGUUCGGAAUUAUUGGGCGUAAAGGGCUCGCAGGCGGUUCCUUAAGUCUGAUGUGAAAGCCCCCGGCUCAACCGGGGAGGGUCAUUGGGAGCUGGGAAACUUGAGUGCAGAAGAGGAGAGAGGAAUUCCACGUGUAGCGGUGAAAUGCGUAGAGAUUAGGAGGAACACCAGUGGCGAAAGCGGCUCUCUGGCUUGUAACUGACGCUGAGGCUCGAAAGCGUGGGGAGCAAACAGGAUUAGAUACCCGCGUAGUCCCUGUCUCUUAUAC